CCGUCGCAACGCGCGCUAAGGGGUGGGCUGGUCUCCCUUCGGAGGCUGGCUUAAGGUACGUGCUAAUCCCACGGGAAACCGUGCUCCCUCACAGAGGCCCGAUAGGCCAAAGUGUUGGAGGGUGCCGCCGGGAGCCUCAGGGCUCUCGGCCGCGCUGGUGCUUCGCUGCAGCGUCCGCUGCAGGGCGGGACAACCCCCCCGGGGGACGUGGACCGCCCGCGGACGCUGAGCCACGGCGAGGCUUAAUUGCUGUGAUGCCCUUAGAUGUUCUGGGCCGCACGCGCGCUACACUGACGGAGCCAGCGAGUACUUCCUUGGCCGAAAGGCCCG
rnacentral:rRNA from 1 species